rnacentral:rRNA from 1 species
UGCAUAUCCAAUAAGCGGAGGAAAAGAAACCAACAGGGAUUGCCUCAGUAACGGCGAGUGAAGCGGCAAAAGCUCAAAUUUGAAAUCCCCCGGGAAUUGUAAUUUGAAGGACCUAUUAAAACCCUGAGAGAGCCCAAAGUCCAUUGGAAAAUGGCGCCAUAGAAGGUGAUAGCCCUGUGUGGACCUCUCUCAGCAUACUUUUUAGGCCCAAAGAGUCGAGUUGUUUGGGAAUGCAGCUCUAAGUGGGUGGUAAAUUCCAUCUAAAGCUAAAUAUUGGCGAGAGACCGAUAGCGAACAAGUACAGUGAUGGAAAGAUGAAAAGCACUUUGAAAAGAGAGUGAAAAAGUACGUGAAAUUGUUGAAAGGGAAGGGCUUGCAAGCAGACACAACCUCGGUUGGGCCAGCAUCGGGGCGGGGGGAAACAAAAAAGGUGUGGAAUGUGGCUCUUACGAGUGUUAUAGCCCCACCCAAUAUUUCCAUCCCAUCCCGAGGCCUGCGAUUCUUCAAGGAUGCUGGCGUAAUGGUUGCAAGUCGCCCGUCUUGAACCAACGGACCA